CGGGAGGCGGAGGUUGCGGUGAGCCGAGGUCGUGCCAUUGCACUCCAGUCCAGCCUGGACAACAAGAGUGAAACUCCGUCUCAAAAAAAAAAGUUUCAGAAUGAUGGCCAAAACAACAUUUCUCAUUUAGCAUAGUAACACAGAUCUUCGUGGGAGAAAGGCCAUGUGAAGACACGGUGAGAAGACGGCCAUCUGAAAGUCAGGAGGAGUAUCCUCUUGAGAACUGAAUCAAGCUAGUACUUUGAUCUUGGACUUCCA
rnacentral:lncRNA from 1 species